UCCUUCACAUUUUCGAAGAAUCCAGAACCACCGCCUCUGCUCUUCUUCGAUCUCAGCUUGUCCACAACGUUCUCCAUCCUUCCUCUUCAAUCUUUAAAGGCACCGGCAUGGGUUUAUUAGAGAGCGCCGUUCAUCGUUGCUGCCCCAAGUUUCUCCUCUUCCUUGUUCUUUCAUCAUUCAAUUCGUCCCCUGCACUUGUGUUUGAGUUGGUUGCUGUCAGUUAUUAUUCCUCCUCUGCCAGGCAGCUUGUCGAUGUAAACAGGUGCGACCGCUCUGUGCACCGCUGCUGGGAAAUUUCACCUUCUCCUCUCCUGUCCGAGCUGCUGUGGUUCAGUGUACAAGGUUCCUUUCCUCUUCCCCUCUACAGCGUGAUAGAUUCAUCCUUCUUCCUUCUUUAUUCUGCCGUGGUUAAUAUGAGGAUGUGCAAAAAAAGGGGGGAUCUUGAUAGAAGUUGAAAGGAGAAAACCUUUGAAAUUUGAGAACAUU